rnacentral:rRNA from 1 species
AUGGCCACAUUCGUUAGUCUUCUUCUUCUUCUUGGUCCGCUGCUGCGCUCCUGUGCAGCAGCAUCGGCGGGAGUAGGACACACGCUGGGCACCGGGUCAUCCCUGUCCGUGGAGGACCACGAGCGGCCCUUCCUGGUGUCGCCGGACGCCACCUUCUCCUGCGGCUUCCUCCCAGCCGCCGACGUCGACAACGCCUUCUAUUUCUCCGUCUGGUUCACCGCCGCCAAGGACAGGACCGCCGUCUGGACGGCCAACCCCGGCGCCCCCGUGAACGGCCGGGUUUCCCGUGCAUCCUUCGGCGACGACGGCAAGCUGGCCCUCGCCGACGCCAACGGGACGACCGUGUGGGACAGCAAGAACGGCGGCAACAAGCACUUCACCGUCUCCCUCCUCGACACCGGCAAUCUCCUCGUCGCCGACCCCUCCUCCGGCCGUGCCGUGUGGCAGAGCUUCGACUGGCCCACGGACACCCUGCUCCCGUCGCAGGCGCUGACCAAGGACGCGAGGCUCGUCGCCGGCUACUACUCCCUCUACUACGACAACGACAACGUGCUGCGGCUCUUGUAUGACGGCCCGCAGAUCGCCAGCAUCUACUGGCCUGACCGGGAUAUAGGCGUGUUCGGGAGCGGCCGGACCAACUACAACAGCUCACGCAUCGCCGUCCUCGACGACACCGGCCUGUUCCUCUCCAGCGACAACCUCCGGGUCGAGGCCUCCGACCUGGGCGCCGCCGGCAUCAAGAGGCGGCUAACCAUCGAGCAGGACGGAAGCGUGAGGAUGUACAGCCUGGACGCCGCCGGAGGAUGGGCGGUCACCUGGGCUGCCGUGAAGCAGCCGUGCUCCGUCCACGGGCUGUGCGGCAAGAACGCCGUCUGCGAGUACCAGCCGUCCCUCCGGUGCUCCUGCGUGCCGGGGUACGAGAUGGUGGACCGCCAGGACUGGAGGAAGGGCUGCAAGCCGACCUUCAGUCUCCCCACCACCAACUGCAGCACGUCGGAAACUCGGUUCACGUUCGUCAAGGUGGCCUCCACCGACUUCUACGGCUACGACGUCGGGUACAACAACUCCGUCACGUUCGAACACUGCAAGAGCAUCUGCUUGAGCAUGUGCUCCUGCGCCGCCUUCGCCUACAAGAAGGAUGGCACGGGCCAGUGCUACCCCAAAGGGGUCCUCUUCAACGGUUACACGUCACCCACCGCCCCGGGAAACAUAUAUCUCAAGGUGCCUAGCGACCUCGACGCCUCGGCACCGCCGCCGUCCAUGGCCCUCGACUGCAGUCUUAAUGGCUCUGAUUCGGCCAUCGACCCUCCAACAUACGUCGACACGUAUGGGGCACUAAGAAGCGGCCCCAACUUGUCCUACCUCUUCUGGUUCGCCGCGGUGCUGGGAUUUCUCGAGCUACUCUUCGCCGCCACGGCAUGGUGGUUCAUGUCUGGCCAGGAGAGCAUGCCCAGCUCGAUGGAGGCGGGCUACCGGCUCGUCAUGGGGACCCAGUUCAGGAGGUUCACGUAUCGAGAGCUCAAGAAAGUCACUGGGGACUUCAACGAGGUGCUCGGCCGCGGCGGCUCCGGCGUGGUGUACCGCGGCGUGCUUGACAAGACCACUGUGGUGGCGGUGAAGGAGCUGACAAACGUGAUGCAGGGUGAGGAGGAGUUUUGGGCGGAGAUGACGGUGUUUGGGAGGAUCAACCAUAUCAACCUGGUGAGGAUCUGGGGGUUCUGCUCCGAGGGCAAGCACAAGCUGCUGGUGUACGAAUACGUGGAGAACGGGUCGCUGGACAGGCACCUGUUCGGUGAGGACAUCAGCAAGGCGCUAGCAUGGAGAGAGCGGUUCAAGAUCGCUUUGGGCACGGCGAGAGGCCUAGCCUACCUCCACCACGAGUGCCUCGAGUGGGUCAUCCACUGCGACGUCAAGCCGGAGAACAUCCUGCUCACUCGAGACCUCGACCCAAAGAUCGCUGACUUCGGGUUGUCCAAGCUGUCCGGGAGGAAAGCCAUCGCCGACGGCAUACAGCUCUCCCAGAUGAGGGGGACGACAGGGUACAUGGCACCCGAGUGGGUGUUGGGCCUGCCGAUCGACGCCAAGGUCGACGUGUACAGCUAUGGUGUUGUGCUUCUAGAGAUCCUGAUGGGAAGCAGGAUAACAGAACAGAGGACUGUGGACGGCAAGGAGCGGCUACAGAUGAGCCAGAUCGUGCAGGCGCUGAAGCAGGUGGUGGCAAGCGGAGACGUCAUGUCAUUGGUGGAUAGCAGGCUGAACGGGCAGUUCAACCCUCGACAGGCCAUGGAAAUGCUCACGAUCUCUUUAUCGUGCAUCAUGGAGGAGAGGGGCAGCAGGCCGGCCAUGGAUGACAUCUUCAAGGCCCUCAUAGCGUGCGAUGAUGAGGACGAACACCCUGCGUACUUGCUGUGA